rnacentral:rRNA from 1 species
GAUGAACGCUGGCGGCGUGCCUAAUACAUGCAAGUCGAGCGAACGGACGAGAAGCUUGCUUCUCUGAUGUUAGCGGCGGACGGGUGAGUAACACGUGGAUAACCUACCUAUAAGACUGGGAUAACUUCGGGAAACCGGAGCUAAUACCGGAUGAUAUUUUGAACCGCAUGGUUCAAUAGUGAAAGACGGUCUUGCUGUCACUUAUAGAUGGAUCCGCGCUGCAUUAGCUAGUUGGUAAGGUAACGGCUUACCAAGGCAACGAUGCAUAGCCGACCUGAGAGGGUGAUAGGCCACACUGGAACUGAGACACGGUCCAGACUCCUACGGGAGGCAGCAGUAGGGAAUCUUCCGCAAUGGGCGAAAGCCUGACGGAGCAACGCCGCGUGAGUGAUGAAGGUCUUCGGAUCGUAAAACUCUGUUAUUAGGGAAGAACAUAUGUGUAAGUAACUGUGCACAUCUUGACGGUACCUAAUCAGAAAGCCACGGCUAACUACGUG